rnacentral:rRNA from 1 species
AUUGAACGCUGGCGGCAUGCCUUACACAUGCAAGUCGAACGGUAACGGGCCUUCGGGUGCCGACGAGUGGCGAACGGGUGAGUAAUGCAUCGGAACGUACCUUUCAGUGGGGGAUAACGUAGCGAAAGUUACGCUAAUACCGCAUAUUCUGUGAGCAGGAAAGCAGGGGAUCGCAAGACCUUGCGCUGAUUGAGCGGCCGAUGUCAGAUUAGCUAGUUGGUGAGGUAAAGGCUCACCAAGGCGACGAUCUGUAGCGGGUCUGAGAGGAUGAUCCGCCACACUGGAACUGAGACACGGUCCAGACUCCUACGGGAGGCAGCAGUGGGGAAUUUUGGACAAUGGGGGCAACCCUGAUCCAGCCAUGCCGCGUGAGUGAAGAAGGCCUCGGGUUGUAAG